GAGAUUGGGCUUGACAUCCACGAACCUGUGAAAGCAGGCCUUCUGGGCAACCAGACAGGGAGACAGGUGGUGCAUGGCUGUCGUCAGCUCGUGUCGUGAGAUGUUGGGUUAAGCCCCGCAACGAGCGCAACCCUCAUCAGGUGUUGCCAUCGGUUCGGCCGGGCACUCUCCUGAAACUGCCGGAGUAAUCCGGAGGAAGGUGGGGAUGACGCCAAGUCUGCAUGCCCCUUAUGCCCUGGGCUGCACACGUACUACAAUGGCCGGUACAAAGGGUUGCCAAGCCGCGAGGCGGAGCGAAUCCCAAAAAACCUCUCUCAGUUCGGAUUGCAGUCUGCAACUCGACUGCAUGAAGGUGGAGUCGCUAGUAAUCGCAGAUCAGCAGGCUGCGGUGAAUACGUUCCCGGGCCUUGUACACACCGCCCGUCACAUCACGAAAGUGGGCUGUACUCGAAGUCGCUGAGA
rnacentral:rRNA from 1 species